ensembl:lncRNA
CGGUUGGUAGGGAUUAUUUUUUCUCCUUGGUGAGGUCAUCAGACACAGAAAUUAAGUGACUUCCUUUCCUGGAGAGAGAGUUUUGUUUUGUUUUUUUUUUAACCUCCAGAUAUCUUUCCAUUCCCUUGGGUUUGGAAAGGAGGGACUAGUUGCGUACUAGGUAUGUGGUCUUUAGUUGAUUGCCCCAGAGCAGAUCUCAUUACUGAGUUUGUUUUAGUUUUAAAACACCUUUUCUUUGCCCUCUUUAUUUUAAGUAAGUUUAUGCCUUGAUUAUUUAGACUGUUUUAGGUCUCAGGAAGCAUAUUUUGCAUUAGUGCCCUUUUACUUGAUCACUUUAUGAAAAGGUGCAGGUGCAGGUGUCUCGAAUAAAAUGGCCCCAAACAUCUGGUGUUCCUGCUGUGUCAGUUCAGAGUACUUGGAUCAUGUCCUUUCCCUAAAAUAGGACUUUACCUGUUUCUUGGAAAUCUAUAUUAAGACUGAGUCUUCAUGUUGCUUCUGAAGAUGUAUGUUUACAUUAUAGUUUCUAUCAUAAUAAGUUGCAUAUGAGCCUCUGGGCAUACUGAAAGUUGUGCAGAAAUAUUCCUGCCAGAGAAUAGUAAUUCAGAACACUGUUGGACUAUUUUGUCAGUACUUCCCAUUCCCUGAAACGUGAGAUCAAAACUCAGUGAACCACAAUAAUGAUUAGAAAAGGCAAUAUAAAUUUAAAAAACAAAUACCUACUGUGCUAGAGGUCACCAACAUUUGAAGGCCACAAGAAGAGGUGGAAAGUAAGUGGUGUCCUUGAGUGUCACUUCCAGAUUGUGGAGAGAAUUUUGGGUCAUAGGAAAAGACCAGUAUGUGUUAUUGGGAGGGCCACUGUUGGCUAUUAGUUCAGUUAUCAUUUUGUCAUGUGCCUGUCUUUUAGAAUGUAGGGUAAAACAUUUAGGAGAAAAUAAGUAGAUAAGUAUGAUUUACCAAAAAGCCUGGACUCCAAAAGGAACUGAAAUAGAUGUUUUUUUCUUCAUGUGGGUUUUUUUGUUUUCUUUCUUUUUUUUUUUUUUAUGGCUAUGGGAAGCUUUAUUUUACUAUUUUCUAUACUUUUGAUGGUUCCCUGACUCCUCUCUUCUUUAUGUGUUAAUAAGCGUUUCUUGUCUUUGAAUAAAGAGAAAGCUAAAAUGUAGGGUAUGAGGAAACCACCUUCAAAGUAGAGAGCACAGUUCAUAUUUAUGAAUGAAAAACAAACAAACUUGGGUAGUCUGAAAGGAAAACUUCAAGAUUAUAUAUCAAGAUUUAAAAGCAUUAUGCCAAGAGGCCCUUGAAAGUAGGGACCUUUUAAAUUCCUAUCUCUGUUGUGUAGUGGUGUCUGGCAACUGAUAGCUGUUACCUUCUGCAAGCCUUGCUUUUAUAAGACUUUAAGCCAGCUCCAUAAAAUUUUAACAUUUGAAUAUCCUAGCCUACCAGGGAAUAAUAUAGCUGUAUAUUUUAUUAUUGUUGACUUAGACUUACCUUUUUCUCCUCUAGGUUUUUUUUUUUUUUUUUUCUCCUUUUUAGGGCCACACCUGAGGCAUGUGGAAGUUCCCAGGCCAGGGGUCGAAUUGCAGCUGCAGCUACCAGCCUAUACCACAGCCACAGCAAUGCAGGAUCUGAGCCAAGUCUGCGAACUGCACCACAGCUCACGAACUACUGUGGUUCUUAACUCACUGAGUGAGGCCAGGGAUUGAACCCACAUCCUCAUGGAUACUAGUUGGGUUACUUACCGCUGAGACACGACGGGAACUCCUCCUCUAGUAUUAAUUUUAAAAAAUUAUUUUCCCUAAGUUUUUAUUUCUGUACUAAAGUUUUUUUUUAUUACAGUAGAAAACAAACCAUAGGACAUAUUCUUUAAUACCAUAAUCUGAUAGUGAAAAACAUAGAACUUUAAACGAAUUUGUGUGUUAUCCUUAUGCCAGAGAUAUAUGAAUUUCUGUGUCUAUUCUGCUAUAUGUGCUGCUGACUCCCCAAGUUUUUGAGAGUAAGAAAAUGUAAGGCGGAGGUAAAUUCAGUGCAGUUUUAUCUGCAUGUUAUCAAAAACUGGUUCUUGUUACUUGAACCAGGAAUCCCAAGUGAGCUCUCAUUGUGAAUUUUAAGUACAGCAGAUUCUACCUUUGUGUGGAAAAAGUUGCUUGAGUGGCAUCAAAAUUAAUGGAGUCCAUCACCUUUUAAUUUCUUUCUACAAAGGGAGCAGCUUAGGGCCAGAACUGGUUAAAUUCAGUUGGAACAAGUGUUUGGGAAUAAAAAAGAUGCAUCAUAAUGUUGUUGUUAGGGCACUAAACCGAAAAUUGCUAAAAACUGAUAUCCACGCUUUCUUUCAAUAUUUGCUCUUUGGCCUUUGUGACUGCUUAUUAGCACUUUCACUGGAGGCUGUGGAGGGAUGGAGGAGAAAAGCUAAUUUAGCUUCUGAUGUUAGCUAGCAUAGAGGCUUUGAAGAAAUGGUGUGAUAAGUUGAACUGUCAGGAAAGUUUCAUUAAACUCUUCAUAUAUUAUCCAGGAGAACUGAGGAUGUUUGAAGACCUUUAAGCAUAUUUCAAAAGAUAUUUAGACCGCUGUUUUUUUUUCUCCAAUUACUGCUUACCUCCUGGCUUUCCCUUUGGCCUCCCAAGGGAAUGAAAGAAGGGUUUUGGUAUUAACUAUUAACAUUUCUAAGGCAUUGGAAAAAUUACUUAAAAAAUUGUUAAUUCAAUAUUCUAAAGGGAUAAAGGGUUUCAGUGAGAUCCCUGGAAAUUUGGUCAGGGACCACCCCCACCCCCACCGCCACCCCUCACCUUGCCACAUCCUUACCCUAAGAAGAACUUACUUGUCUUUGAAUUGCUGGGACCCUUAAAAAGAAGUUUUCAAUUUCAGUAUUCAGGAACACUUUUAUGAUUAGAGUUUUGUUAGAAAGAGAUGAAAGUACGUAUUUCCUUCUUUUCCUUUUGUGAGCUAGACUGGUAGGAAAUUUGAAUUUAGUGAUAGGAUAGAAAUAGGAUAAACACGAAUAAACAUUUUGAUAUGUAGUUAUUUUUCAAAGCCGUGUCUUUAUAUAUUUUUUAACACAAAUACGAUCAUAUCUGUUAUGUAGCUUGGUCUUUUUUUUUUUUUUUUUUUUUCCCCCCACUUAUAGAGAUUUUUCACAUCAGUGCAGACCAGUUUUUUUUUUUUUUUUUUUUUCUUUUUCUUUUUUAAGUUUAGGGGUGGUUUAUUUUUUGGUUUUUGGUUUUUUUGUGUUAUAAUUCUUUAGUGAAUUGUGCAUUUAUCUUUAUGUAUCUAUAAGAAUAUUUCUGUUGGGCUCCCAGAAGUGCAGUUACUAGUUAAAAAUUUGAGUAAUUGCACUGAAAGUUUUGAUAGGUAUUGCCUUCAAAAGGCUUAUGUAGCCAAAUUUAAUAGUUUAAAAUUUACAAUUAAAAAGUUUGUCAUUCUGAGUGCAUGUGCUUGGCAAUGUAAAUUACCAGGAUUUGAAGUAGAUGAAGUCUGUCCUAGAUUCUGUUGAUUCAUGCUUCUUUUUAGAUUGUUUUCACUUUAUGGUCAUACAUCCCUAUUAACUUCAUAAUGAAUCUCUAAUGCAGUCAACGUAGAAUACUGAGGUUAACAUGUCUGCCAGGCACAGUGCUACAUGUAAGGGGUGGAGAUAAAAACAAGGCAUAAAAUCUCAUUUUAAGAAAUAAAUGGUCUAGGGAAGGGGAGGAGGUGAUAAAAUUGGGAGUUUAUAUUUCAUUAUGAGCUGUUGCCCAGGUGUUACAGGAAUGCAGAUAAGACCCUAGAGAGGAAGGGACUCUCUAAAAAGAGCUUACGAUCUUGAGCUAAAACUUGAAAAGUAAAGGUGCAAAGGUGUGGAAAAGCCUGGAACUAUAGAUAAGAUUCAGGUGGUUAGAGUGGGAACGGGAUGGAAAUGAGGCUGAGUGUAAAAGGAGGGGAAAUAUAUGCUAUGUGGGAGUUUGGGUUCACCCUUACCCUGGAGUCCCUGAAGGAUUUUAAGCAGGAGCGGAACAUGGUUGGGUUUGUGUUCCCUCCCUUCUUCCUUCUUUUCCUUCUCCUUUUCUUUCUUUUUUUCCCUUGUUUUUUAGGGCCGCAUCUGUGGCAGGUGGAAGUUCCCAAGCUAGGAGUCGCAUUGGAGCUACAGCUGCCGGCCUACACCACAGCCACAGCAACGCUGGAUCCUUAACCCACCGAGUGAAGCUAGGGGGUGGAACCCGCAACCUCAUGGUUACUAGUUGGAUUUGUUUCUGCUGCGCAAGAACGGAGCUCCCGCCUCCUUUUCUAGUAAUCACUUUGGUAGUUGACGCUAGAUUGAAGGCUUAAUGAGACAGGAGGAAAGAACAGUUGGGAGAUGAUUACUGCUGGGAUUACUAUAAUGCUUGAGGUUCUGAAUGAAGACAGUGGUAUUAAGGAUGGAAUGAACGUGCCUGUCAUGCCACCUAUUGAACCCUUCCUAUUUGACCUUGGUAGUCAGAAUGUCAUCUCUUUUCAGAAACCUUCUUUGAUCCCUUCAGGCAAAACAGUGCUAUAUCAUCUGGGUUUACUACCUUCACACCUAAUUUUUAUCACCUUAUCUUUGGCAUUGAUGAUACGACCUUAAUUCUUAGUGUCUCCAACAUUAGACCAUUAACUCCUGUAGUCUUUCCUCUGGUAUUUGUGUCUGGUAUUAGUAUAUUUUUAAGGUAUCUCUGGUAGGUGGUAAAUCAGUGAUUGGGAUCAGGGUUCAUUGACAUGGGGAAUGUUGAGGGGCAGGGAUUGGUUUUGAAUUUGUUAUUAGGGGCAGGAAAUGGGCUUUGCAAGUAGCUGUAUGGGUGAUGCUGGACCCUCCUUAUUCUUUAGGUUUCAACUUUUUAUUUUUUAUUUUAAUUCUUUGGAUUUUAAACUUUAGGUUUCAAUGUUUUUUCCCACUGGGAAGCCUUCUGUGACCCAGCUCACUCUCAGCCUGUGUGAGGGUCUCCUAAUGUCCCCUGGGAUUCCCUCUUCACACAGUGUCUGUCUUUACUGGUCCAUGUCAUCCUUGUAGACACUUAGUACAGGGCUUUGAGUGCUGUAGGCAUUUUAAUAAAAUGUUUAUUGGAGGUAAUUAGUUGGUAUUUCUCAUUGACUUCCCUCUAAAGACUAAAAUUCAAAAUCGUAGGGUCUAGCAAUUAAGCCUCUUCCAGUUUAAACCUAGCCUUACAUUUAGUGGUUAAAAGCAUGGAUUUCAGGGGUAGAGAUUUAAAUUGGAAUCCUUCCCCUGCAACUUAGUAGUUAUGUGCUCUUGGGCACGUUACUUAACUUUGGAGCAUCAAGGUUUCUUAUCUAUUAACGUGAGAAUAAGGAUACGUACUUGUCUUACAAUGUUAUUGUGACACUUAAAUGAGGAGAUAUAUGUAAGACACUUAGCACAGUGACUGACACAGUAAAAGGUCAAUUAAUGUAGUGAAUAGCAGUCAUAAUAGUAGCCUAUCCUCCAGUCAGAGCUGUGAUUCCCUUAGUGAUUAUGAAAUUUAAGAAGCCCUGCCCUAUUGGCAUAGGAAAGUGUUAGGGACUGAGGUGGUGAGGUCCACAUUAUUUCUUCGUUUUAUAAUAAAAAUUUUGACUCCUACUCUCUAUUGUCCUCAUCUUUAUCUGCUUAGCAUGGUCUUAUACUGAAAGGCCUACCUCACCAGGUCAUUUUUGCCUACUCUACCCCUGCUGGUAAGUACCAAGCUCUAGCUAUAUAAAGUUAACGAGCCUGUAAACAAGGAUGCUAAGGCUUCCUUGUCUUGGAAAUAGAAUUAAUGAAUUGAUAACUAGGAAACAUUCAGAUAAUUUUAACUGAACAGUGGCUUUAAGUGCAUUGAUAAUUUAAGCAAGCAGGAAGAAAGAGAUGUGAAUCUGAAUAGUCUGGAAAGGUUUUUGUGGAGAUGCUGUGUAUUGGACAAUUAAGUUUUGCGCUUAAAGUGUAGAAGGGUCUUCCAGGUAGGGGCAGCAGCGUAGACAGGAUCAUGGAGUUGAAUGUGGAAGGAGUUUUAGGUCCAUGCCACCUGAUGUACUUGCUUUGAUAUUGUUUUAAGGUUCAUCUUGGAGAAAUAGGACUCAUAAGGUAUGUACUAGGACCUAUUUUAGAGUAGAGGAUUGAGGUGAUAUAAAGGUAUGGAAUGGAUUGGAGGACUGAGGCAUCAGUCAGGAAGCUGUUAUGAUAAUUUAGGUGUGAGCUGAUGUGGACCUUGGGAUGGGUUUGGGUUAGUAGUGUUAAGAAUGGAAUGGAUAGGGAGUUCCUGUUGGUGCUCAGCCGUAACGAACCUGACUAGUAUCCAUGAGGACGUGGGUUUGAUCCCUGGCCUCAGUAGUGGGUUAUGGAUCUGGCAUUGCCAUGAGCUGUGGUGUAGGUCACAAGCGCCGCUCAGAUGUGACUGUGGUGUAGGCUCCGAUUCGCCCCCUAGCCUGGAACUUCCAUAUGCUGCAC